rnacentral:rRNA from 1 species
UACGUAGGUGGCAAGCGUUUGUCCGGAUUUAUUGGGUUUAAAGGGUGCGUAGGCGGUGACUUAAGUCAGUGGUGAAAUACGGCAGCUCAACUGUCGAGGUGCCAUUGAUACUGGGUUACUUGAGUACUGAUGAGGUAGGCGGAAUGGACGGUGUAGCGGUGAAAUGCUUAGAUAUCGUCCAGAACACCGAUAGCGAAGGCAGCUUACUAAGGAGUAAACUGACGCUGAUGCACGAAAAGUGUGGGGGAUCAAAACAGGG